CCAAACAAUGAGGUUUCUAGAAAGAUCAACAAGGAGGAGACGUGGAGGAAACGCAGGAUUACGCGAUGCGUCCGCUUUUCUUAUUGAACUUGACGAUGAAAAUGACUUUUUUAGCCCUUCGUUGGUCGAUGAAUCAGUUCCUAAUGUUGGAGUGUAACAUAAAGCAAGAAUGGAACCCAUUACUGUCAUGUAGUGCUUUUCUCCAGGAAACGUAAAACAAAUUUUUUCACGUUUAGAGUCAUAAAAUGUAAGGCCGGAGGACCUUGUACAAACGAAUGAGGAAGAGUUUUUUUCGCGUGAUUGUAAAGGUGUUGUUUUACAAGAAGAAGAGCAGUUUAAGGAAACACCAGUGUUGUCUAAACAGCUUAAAGAUUUACCGCUCAAAGAGUAAGUUUUGUUUGUGGUGGCAAUGAAGAGAACAGAGCUCUGAUCAUCUAAAUAUGUCAAUCCCGUUAUCGGCUCACCAAGAUUGUGUGAAUAGGAAUUUUUAAUUCCUCUUUCACGCAACGGAUUUCCAUGAUAGCACGAUACAAGGCCUCCACCAAAUCCACAAGCAAUAGUCUUAUCAAUGGGAGACUGAGAAACUGCAAUUAUAGGAUACGGAGACUCGUUUAUAGAAAACUUGUGCGUAGUAACCAAAACAAACUGUGGUGGUUCAUUUUCAUCUGCCUGAGAAAACGCGUAAAUAAUUACAGUACUAUUGGUGCCAGUACCCCCUUCAACAUUAGAAAAUAAUAAAAAUGUUUUGUUAUCAAGCCAAAGAAUUUGUUGAAUUGAAGAUUCGUCUUCAACUUUAAUCGAUUGUAGUGACUUAAAAGAUGAAUUAUAGAUCGAGACGUCACCAAAAGCUGUAGCAAAUACUACUAGUUCACCAUUUGAGGAGAAGCUACUAGUCAGUCUAUCGAUAUUUUCUUCUAUCGCUUUAACCUGAAACAAAGUUAUUCUCUUCCAAUUUUUAAUGAACGUUGACAUGAUUCAUAAAACAGGCUGCACCUUACUGGCACUCUAUAUAUAAUACCGCAUAGAGUUCUGCAUA